AGUAGAGAUGGGGGUUUCACCAUGUUGGUCAGGCUGGUCUCAAACUCCUGACCUCAGGUGAUCCAUCCACC
ensembl:miRNA